UAAAUUAGAAAGAAAAAAGAAAAAGAUUGAUCAUAAUUAUAUUAAACAAGAUUUCAUGUCAGAGGAAAAUAAACAUAUCAGACAAUGGUAUCUUACAAAAGUACCAUUACAAUUAAGAGAAAUAUUACAGGCUAAAUAUAAUAAAUUCCUUAAAAAGGAAAAAGAAUCAGAAGGAUAUUUUCUAUGGUUGAUAAGCAAUUAUCAACAUAAACUCCAUAUCGCCUCAUUUGAUAAUAUCCAAACAAUAGAGGAAAAGACUUAUAU
rnacentral:lncRNA from 1 species